UUUUUGUAAUGGCCGAGAAGCAGCAAAGCAGGGAAAGAGCAGGGAGCAAGAGAGAUUGAGAAAGGGAGCGAGAUCGAGAGAGAGAGAUUGAGAGAGAGAGCUCGAUGGCCAGAAGGCUGCUAUGGCCAACGAGCAAAGGCUGAGGGCAAGCAGCACCAGCGGCCGAGUAGUGGCAUUGGGCGAAGCAGCUACAUCGAGCAUCAAUGGUGGCUACCAGCAACCCGGUGGUGCACGGUGGAGGUUGAAGUCGGCAGCGGUUGGUUGCGGCGAUUGCAGGGGCAGCUGCUGGUUGCGCAAGAAGGCUGCUCGUGGCUGCCAUGGCCGAUGUUGGAAGCUUGUAGUAGCGGCUGAGGCACGCGGGUAACUGGUGCGGUGCGGCCAGCAAUGGCUUGGAGGCAAGAAAUUGAUGGCGAGGGCGAGCAAGUGGCAGCAGCGGCCGGCGUGCGCAGCCGAGUUGCUGUGCGGGGGUGCUUGGGAAGAAAGAAGAAGAAGGUGAAUAGUAGCUGCGCACGCUGGAGAAGAAGAACAGGGGAGAAGAAAGGAAAAAUUAAAAGAAAAAGGGAAAAUAAAAAUAAAAAGGAAGAAAAUAUGGAAAAUGGGAAAAAUAGGAGAAAAUUCCCAAAAAUUCCAAAAAGGUUUUAGAAAUUAUUUCGAGGCUCGUGGAGCAUGCUGGAAGCUCGAGAAUGGGAUUUUGAGCGCAAGUGGCAGCUCGGGAGCCAACGCCGGUGUGGGCAUCUGAUCGUUUUUCUCCUUCAAAUUAAUUGAGGUUCGACCGGGAAGGCGAUAAUCCUAGAAGAGCUCGGAGUUAAGGCUGGCGUUCUCACCGAGGCAGAAAUGAGGCUUCGAGCCAGAUGAUGCAAGUCCGGAUGCAAGCAGGGAUGGCGCUGGGAGGCCGUUGUGGCAACUAGCUGUGUUGCCUGAGUUAUGUAUUUUUAAUAUUGCUUGUAUGUAGUCAGGGGGCAUGGUGUAUGUACACCUUGUGAGUAAAUGUCUGUGUUAUUGAGCUUAAAUGUAUUUAAUUAUUGUAAUCAUCAUAGUGUGAUAGAUGAUUGGGAGAUUGCUUGUUGAAUGUGGCAUAGUCGGUAAAGCCAAGUUUCGGACUGAGUCAAGAUCAGCAAGGUAUGGUCUCAUAAAUCUCAAUACUCAGUGAAGUGUUUGUAUGCUAGCUUUGUGCCUGGGUCACCUCUGGCUUGCUAUGGGGUGAGCUGAAGAGAGGUGAAGCUCACUCGGGUUUCGGGUUUUGGUCCGCUGGAUUUUUCUUAUUUGAGUUGGGGCCGAUUCCUGAGUGGAGCGAAGGGAAGGACGAAGCCUAAUUCCCACCUAGGGCGUUUCCUGUUGAAACAUAGUUCAACCCUUCAGUUGUGGUUUGUCGGGUGAGUAAUCCGAUCGAUUAUUUACCAGUGGCACCCGUAAGUGGGAGCGGGUCGUUACACUUACAUAGCAAGGUUCAAACCUUGUUCCUUUCAAAUUGGUUAAACUUUUCCUACACAAUCGAUAUCGAACUAGGAUCUUCUAUGGCUUCAUCUAUGUUUUUUGGUUCUAGAUUUGUAAAGAACCCAAAAAUUCACCUCAAUUCAUUUUAUGCAACAGAAGCAUGACAUAAGAUAUUCCCAACUCUUUUAUAUAACAUCCAGGCCACCUUCCUAUAAGAUACAACAUAAAAUAAUUGCAACGCCCCAAUCCCACCUAUAAGUGUCAGGAGUGAAUAAUCUACCGAAUUGUUCACUCAUCAUCAGGAUUCGGAAGGGUUGGACUAUGUUUUAACAAGAAAUGCCCUAGGUGGGCACUAGGUUUCGUCCUUUCCUUCCCUCCACUUGAGGAGUCAGUUUCAAGAUUUCGAAAAACAUUGCAGCAGAAAGAAGCCAAAACCUCAAGUAAGCUCCAUCAUUCUUCAACUCGAUUGAUCUGAACCAAGGAUGACUACCCCAAGCUUGGGUGAUAUCUUAGGUUGUAUUGCUUAGUUCAGCUUUUACUUUUGAGUGAAAUUUAAUUUUUUAUUUUAUUUGUUCAAAAUUCCUUAGCUUACAUGCUUUUCGAGAAAAACCCAUUUAUUCAUUUUCUCAUCAGAGAAUAUCCAAGAUCUCCUGGGUUUCCAAAAUAUUGGGUUAUUUUCCCACGCCUAAGGGAAAUUCUUCACAUAUCUAUAUUUUUCCAAAAAUAUAAUUUUUCGUCGAAAAUAGCCCAAAAAUCCCUUUAUUUCAAAAAUACCUUUUUAUUUUCAAAAUUUCUCCAGGCCCUAAAAUUAUCUCAAAAUGGCUCAAAUAUUUCAAAAUUUCCAAAUUUUAAGAAAAAUUGGCUGGCAAGGCUAGCUGGCACACCCAGGGUCUGCACGGGGCCCAGCGGUGCACUGGCAGCGCGGGCUGGUUGCGCCCGACGCGCUUCCAUACACCUAUUGUGCGCCUGGCAGCUGCCUAUUAGCUCUCAGCUGCUACCAGCACUCCCCAUUUUCAUUCAUUUUGCCCUUUUUUCAACUUUCAGCCUCCAAAGCCUUCCAAAUUUUUUAUUUGAAUAUUUCUUCCAUUUAUGCCACAAACGCACAUCAAGGGUCCAACCCAAAUACACAUGGUUAUAACACAAUAUUUAUACAAACUUAACACAAAAUUACAACAAAAUCAUCUUGAUGCUUCCAAAAUCGCUUUUGUCUUAGCACAUGAGAAACCUACAAGGUGAGGAUGAAAAUCUCAUGAGUCAUAAAGCUCAGUAAGGGUGUAAUGCAUGCAAAUAUGAACAUAAACAAGAAUAUGUAAUGCCAAGUGCAUGCAUGUUUAGCUAAGUCUCUUUUCCCUCAAACCCACCAAGGUUUGAGACAUCAACCUACCUUUCCCACCAUGUCCCCAACUACCUUUAUGGCCAUAAGUUUCAUGUACAUAGAAGAGCAUGCCAAAUGUAACAUAAAAAUUUUAUGAAACAUACUUACAAACAAUGGAAGGCCACCCCUCAUGGGGCCAUCCCUUGCCUUGAGAUUCUUUGAUGCUUCCCCAAAGACUUCUUCUUCUCUUCUUUUCCUUUCUUUCUUUCUCUCUUUCUUUCUUUCCUUCACAGUGGAAAGCUUCUCCCAAUUACUCUCUUGAAAUUCCCUUUUUAUAUCUCUCAAUUUCAAGUUCCAAUCCUAGCCAUUGGAUUUGCUUUAUGAGAACAAAUAUAAUCCCUCCAAAGAAGCACAAUCCAAGCCAUUAGUCUUAUUUAAUCUCAACCAUUAAUGGAGAAAUGAAUAAUUAAUCUCCACCAUUCAAGAAAGCACAAUCCAUGACACUUGGGAAGAAUAAAUCAUAUCCUUUAAUUUCUUUGAAGUUUAAAUCUCCACCCUCUAAUCAUUCUUUCCUUAUAUAAAUAUUUACACAUUUGGCAAUCCAUGCCAACUUAAAGCCUUUAAUCUCCACCAUUGGAUUAAUUCCAAUUUCAAGACUAAAUCUUCACCCUUGGAUUAAGUCUCAUAUUCCCAUAUAUUUAUAAGACUAAUUUCACACAUCACAUGAGUGACUAAUUUCACUCAUUUUCAAUAUAUAUCUCCAUAUUUUCAAGGCAUUAAUGGAGAUUAAUUUCAAUUUCUUUUUGUAUUUUCUUUAAUCCAACAUAAUCAUAGCUUUCACAAAUCAAGAAUAACCAAUUUCUUUUCCUUUUUGAUUUAUUUAUAUCUUCCCUCUCUCUUGGACAAAAGUUUGCCAUGUGUCACUCCUUGACAUUUACUUGGCUUCCAACUCUCCAUCUUGGCCAUCCAUUAUCCCUACCAUAUUUCAAGACUAAUAUAGGGAUAUUCUCAUACAUAUUUAUAUCCCUUACUCAUAAUUACCAUCAAGUCACACAAAGCUUGAUUUAUUCGAAAUUAAUAACUGGCAUUUACUCGAUAAAGACCGAUUUCUUUCCUGUGCCUACACAAGACCUUUAUUCCAACCUAAAAUGCUUUAGGGUUACCUCACUCGCAAAAUCAAACCACCCCUAGGGUUUUUUUGACUUCUCGAAUGUCCCCACGACCAUUCAGGCUUAUACAAAAAUUAUUUCAUAAACUAUUCCUGAUCUGAUUUCUUUCAACGUCACUAACCUCAUCUCGAGAUGCUCACCAAUCUUAUGCCCUCUUCCCUAAACAUCCAAGUCUCAAGGCAUUCCUUUCCGUCGAUUCGACCAUUCAUCACCUCAUUCAUCACUUCUUUCUCAAAUGGCAGUGCCCUCCUUGGACACAUAACACACAACCACCAAGGCAUCUUUUGGUCGAGGAUCUCUGCACAUCUUGUAACACCCCCUCUCCUAGAACUGCCCGAGAAGAGGUGCUUCUGGGGAAAGUAAAAUAAACUAACUGAUAAUCUGAAAUCUGAUACCAUGACUGAACAUCUCAAUCAGCUGGAAUAAAAACUCUGAACCAAUACAAACUGAAAAGCAUAAACUCUUACUAAGGGACAAUCCCUCAACUGAAAUAUAAAAUAGAUCUAAACUGAGAAAACACUAUAAACUCAACAGACUCCCAGACAUCUUUUAUCUUGAGCGGCUCCACCUACACACACUAUAAACCAUUGC